rnacentral:lncRNA from 13 species
GAAAAGAUAUUUUUCCAUUUCUGAAGUAUCCAUAAUUGUUUGAGACGACAUGGUGUUCCAGAAGAAGAGAGAGGCAGCAGGAGCCUUACUGGUGCUAGAAAAACAAGUCCUGCUCAUCUACCUCCCGACUGCAAAGGAACUUAGGAUCAGUUCCUGUGGACUGGCUGUGACGGGAGAGAAGCACCAGCACUCGCCUUAGAACUGGCAACCAAGUCCUUCUAAAGUGCCCAGGAUCCUAGAAAUAACUAUGGAAAAAUUGGAAAGACAUAUCAGAAAAAUUGAGCCAGUCAAGGCUGAGAUUGAAGAAGAGAAGAAGAAGAGGAUCUCCAAAUGAACUCCAGCACUUGAAGAACUAACUCAAAGCCCUGUG